rnacentral:rRNA from 1 species
CGGAGCAAUCCUAGUAGAGCGGCGCACGGGUGCGUAACACGUGGGUAAUCUGCCUCGAAGCCCGGGAUAACCUGCCGAAAGGCAAGCUAAUACCGGAUAAGCCUCCGGGUUCCUCGGAACCUGAAGGAAAAGGUGGCCUCUAUUUAUAAGCUAUCACUUCGAGAUGAGCCCGCGGCCCAUCAGCUAGUUGGCGGGGUAACGGCCCACCAAGGCUACGACGGGUAGCUGGUCUGAGAGGACGAUCAGCCACACUGGAACUGAGACACGGUCCAGACUCCUACGGGAGGCAGCAGUGGGGAAUUUUGCGCAAUGGGCGAAAGCCUGACGCAGCAACGCCGCGUGUGUGAUGAAGGUCUUCGGA